ensembl:antisense Gm29245 predicted gene 29245
GUGAGUAAAAUAUUAUCAUGAAGCAAGGCCCAGACAAAAAGGGGCCCAGAUGUGGUCCCAACUGAACCACCUACCUCUGAAUAAGGCCAACCGACAGACCUAAGCCUGCUCAGAAAUUCCAAAAGACUAAUGUCUAGCCAGCGGCUUGGACGUGUGUGUGUGUGUGUGUGUGUGUGUGUGUGUGUGUGUGUGUGUGUGUAAUUGAGGGGGGGUUAUAAGGUCUUACUUAGCAAGCAGUUUUUAUUAAAAAAUCCAUCCCCAGUGCCUUGCUUCCAUUCUCAAAUGGGGUGAGGGUGGGGGAGGGAGAUGCAGUGGGGAAAUGCUGUAUAGUCUUCCUGCUUGAUUACCAGAGCCUUUCCGGAACGUAAUUCUCUCUGAAUGAAAUCUCAAAGGAUUGAGCCUGUGCUAAAGUUUCUAGUAUGAGAGCUGCACCAAGGUGAUAAUGCAAUUAACCUGAGUAAUACUUCAAACGUCUUGCUAAUAUAUACAUCAUGUAUAUGUAUAUGCAUAUGUAUAUGUGUGUAUGUGUAUAUGUAUGUGAUGUAUAUGUAUAUGAUGUAUAUGUAUGUGUAUAUGUAUUGACAGUUUAGACUGUGUUCAUAGUGUGAUUUCAAAAAUUAGCCUCAGAGGUUUGUGAAUUUGCUCAAAUUAAAAGGAUAAAGAUGUGUCAGUAUAAGAAGAACCGGCUGGCUCUUCUUAAUAUUUUCUAAUAUCGCUUAACAGCAUUCUGAACGGCUACACUGCAGCCUUUCUCGAUUCACUUCCUAGACUCUGCAGCAAAAGUCUGUGAUUAUUAUUUAAGGAUCACGGUGAUUCCCUUCACGGCAUGGGGGAAUAAAGAAAAGCAAGAGCAGGGCUAUUAUCCUGUGUUUAUAACAAGUCUGUUGCCAUAGUAACGCCUGUGAUGUCACAAAUGCUACACCCAGGGCCAGAAGCUGUCUCCGAGGGGGAGGGGCAGCUUGGCCUUGGAAAAUGGACACAAGCAUUCCAGGCCAAAGCAGGGUCAACAGCGAGGUAAUCAUGGAAACACAGGGAGCUCCCUUCACCAGAGAAAGGAAGGGGGUGGAGCAGGGCCAGAAAAGCAACUCCCUGGGCCCAGAAGUGAGCUCACGCAUGCUUCUUAUAUGCAGCUGUGCAAAGGGAGUGGAAAUCCAAGCGAAUGUGGUACCUCUGUGUUCCCAGUCAGGAUCACUCCACUGGGCUCACUGGCUGCCAAGACGUGAAUGGGAUCCAGGGUCUGCCCUAGCUCACGAAACUGCUGGGAACCAGUGCCUGCCCAGACAGAGCCUCUAAGGCCCGCAAGAGAUGCAAGUGCCUCACAUGGCAGCCCCUGAGAGCCUAGCUAGGACAUUCCCACCAAAAGUCAUCAGACUCAGAGAGCCACAGAUUCUCA